GAUAAACGUUGGCGGCGUGCCUAACGCAUGCAAGUCGCACGGGGCGCAAGCCUAGUGGCGGACGGGUGAGUAACACGUAGGAACCUGCCCAGAAGUGGGGGACAACUCUCCGAAAGGAGAGCUAAUACCGCAUACGGUCUACGGACCAAAGCUUCGGCGCUUCUGGAGGGGCCUGCGGUGGAUUAGCUAGUUGGUGGGGUAACGGCCUACCAAGGCGACGAUCCAUAGCUGGUCUGAGAGGAUGAUCAGCCACACUGGGACUGAGACGCGGCCCAGACUCCUACGGGAGGCAGCAGCGAGGAAUUUUGCACAAUCGACGAAAGUCGGAUGCAGCAACGCCGCGUGGGGGAAGAAGGCUUUCGAGUUGUAAACCCCUUUUGUGAGGGAAGAAGAUCUGACGGUACCUCACGAAUAAGUCACGGCUAACUACGUGUCAGCCGCCGCGGUAAGAC
rnacentral:rRNA from 1 species